AUUAGCUAGUUGGUAGUGUAAUGGACUACCAAGGCGAUGAUACAUAGCCGACCUGAGAGGGUGAUCGGCCACAUUGGGACUGAGACACGGCCCAAACUCCUACGGGAGGCAGCAGUAGGGAAUCUUCGGCAAUGGACGAAAGUCUGACCGAGCAACGCCGCGUGAGUGAAGAAGGUUUUCGGAUCGUAAAACUCUGUUGUUAGAGAAGAAUGUUGAUUAGAGUGGAAAAUUAAUCAAGUGACGGUAUCUAACCAGAAAGGGACGGCUAACUACGUGCCAGCAGCCGCGGUAAUACGUAGGUCCCGAGCGUUGUCCGGAUUUAUUGGGCGUAAAGCGAGCGCAGGUGGUUUAAUAAGUCUGAUGUAAAAGGCAGUGGCUCAACCAUUGUGUGCAUUGGAAACUGUUAGACUUGAGUGCAGUAGAGGAGAGUGGAAUUCCAUGUGUAGCGGUGAAAUGCGUAGAUAUAUGGAGGAACACCGGUGGCGAAAGCGGCUCUCUGGACUGUCACUGACACUGAGGCUCGAAAGCGUGGGUAGCAAACAGGAUUAGAUACCCUGGUAGUCCACGCCGUAAAC
rnacentral:rRNA from 1 species